rnacentral:rRNA from 1 species
AUUAUACAGCGAAACUGCGAAUGGCUCAUUAUAUAAGUUAUCGUUUAUUUGAUAGUACCUUACUACUUGGACAACUGUGGUAAUUCUAGAGCUAAUACAUGCUACCAAUCCCGACUCCGGAAGGGAUGUAUUUAUUAGAUUAAAAGCCAAUGCCCUCUGGGCUCCCUGGUGAUUCAUGAUAACUCUUCGAAUCGCAUGGCCUUGCGCCGGCGAUGGUUCAUUCAAAUUUCUUCCCUAUCAACUUUCGAUGUUUGGGUAUUGGCCAAACAUGGUCGCAACGGGUAACGGAGGGUUAGGGCUCGACCCCGGAGAAGGAGCCUGAGAAACGGCUACUACAUCCAAGGAAGGCAGCAGGCGCGCAAAUUACCCAAUCCCGACACGGGGAGGUAGUGACAAUAAAUACUGAUACAGGGCUCUUUUGGGUCUUGUAAUUGGAAUGAGUACAAUUUAAACCCCUUAGCGAGGAACAAUUGGAGGGCAAGUCUGGUGCCAGCAGCCGCGGUAAUUCCAGCUCCAAUAGCGUAUAUUAAAGUUGUUGUGGUUAAAAAGCUCGUAGUUGAACCUUGGGCCUGGCUGGCCGGUCCGCCUCACCGCGUGCACUGGUCCGGCCGGGCCUUUCCCUCUGCGGAGCCCCAUGCCCUUCGCUGGGCGUGGCGGGGAAGCAGGACUUUUACUUUGAAAAAAUUAGAGUGCUCCAGGCAGGCCUAUGCUCAGAUACAUUAGCAUGGAAUAAUGAAGUAGGACGCGCGGUUCUAUUUUGUUGGUUUCUAGGACCGCCGUAAUGAUGAAUAGGGACAGUCGGGGGCAUCAGUAUUCAAUCGUCAGAGGUGAAAUUCUUGGAUUGAUUGAAGACUAACUACUGCGAAAGCAUUUGCCAAGGAUGUUUUCAUUAAUCAGGAACGAAAGUUAGGGGAUCGAAGACGAUCAGAUACCGUCGUAGUCUUAACCAUAAACUAUGCCGACUAGGGAUCGGACGAUGUUAUUUCUUGACGCGUUCGGCACCUUGCGAGAAAUCAAAGUGC